rnacentral:lncRNA from 1 species
GACUUCUUCUGACCUGGAAGAGGUGAGACAGGGGCUGGGAGCGGCGGGAUGGAUGGUGGCUUGGAAGCCUCUUCCUCUGGGCCAGGAGCAGUGGGAUGGUGGCUCAGAAGUCCCUACCUCUGUGUCGGGAGUGAUGGGACAGAUGAUGGCCCAAAAGCCCUUUCCUCUGGGCUGGGAGCAACGGGGCUAUUUUUCCAUUUUAAAGGAAACUAGAGAUCAGAGGUUAUAGAACUACUCCAAGGUCACAUAGCAGCAGGGGGCUAAAAUAGGAUUGAAUCCCAGGCUGUCAGAUUGGAAGCCUACCUCUAACCUUCAUGCUAUACCAUAUCUCACUUCCAAGAUAUUUACAUUUGAAGAGAUUCAAUACAGUGAACUAUUUAGCUGAAAAUACCAUAAAAAUGAGCCUUUUGGGCAUAAGGAACAGACUUCCAUUAACUUCAGUGCUCAGCCUGCAUUUAAAGAUUUCUCUCAGGUAGCCUUCUCCUUAGCCUUGGGCGAAAGCUGGCCCUGACCAUGUUACUGGGACAGGAUUGUACAAUCAUCCUCCCCAACCCGGGGCCAUGUUUCUGUGUUGGUUCUUCAAGCUGCUUCUUCACUUCCUCUUGCCCUCAGCCACACUACAGAUCUGCUACUGGCUUCUGACUUCACUGCCUGCCUUAGAAGUGGCAAGCCAAGCAAUCACUUGCUCAACCUUCCUGAGAGCCAGUGAUGGAAAAGAGAAGCAACUCUGGAGCAUGGAACACAAAAGUUUUGGGAGGGACUUCCCAUUGAGGUUCUUUCUUUCCCUGGAGACUCAAUGAUUUUAUGUCUAGUGGUUCAUAAGUUACAAGAUAUCUGGAAUUAGGUGAUCUGACACCCUGUGACUUCUGGCUUUCCCCAAAGACAAAAUGACCAUGGAAGGGAGACCAUGAUGGUGACAUUUGGAAGACCCUGUGUAAGGCAGGGUGAUGUUCCAUUAUUUUUUGUACUUGCUAAAACUCAGAGUUCUGAAAAGUCUGGAUGACACAAUGAAAAGUUUGUGUGCUGAGCAAAAUGUUGUCCAAUUGGCCAAUCCUCUACGUCUUGGGAAAUGUCUAGAAGCUUGGCAAGAAGUUGCUCUCAAGAGAGCACGAAUGCUGCCAAUUUCCAAUUGGCCAAGACACAUUACAAGGACAACCUUCUCUCUGAGCAACCUGGCAUUUCCAUUCCAAUUGGAAUCUGCAAUGUGAAGAUGCACAAGGGAGGGAGAUUAAACAAACGUUUUCAGAUUUCUGUUCCAGGUGAAUCUCUCAUCUUAUCUGGUCUGUUCUGAUCUGCUUUUGUUCACUGACCAUUUCAAACAUUAAGGGACAUGUUACAGCCUCACAGUGAAAAGGUCAAGAGACUCUCUUUGAGAAGCAGCAAGAGCAGAGACGCCCAGGUACAGGGAUGACAGAGUCUUCUUUAGGUCACAAUGAUAGUACUCUGGUUGAUCUCCAAAGCACAAGAUGGCUCCAGGAAGGCUGGAUCCCAAGCAAAAGGCUUCUAGUCUUGCCACUAUGUUCCACUUUGACCUCAGGAGGAAAGAGAACCACUUUUGCAGAGAUCACUGGUGGCUUGAAAAAUUGGAAUGUUAGGGUUGAACUGUUCAACUCUAAUGGGACCCUGAGAAAGGAAGAGGGCUUCAGUAACGAUAUUAUAGAAUUUCCUGCAAGCCCCGAAGACAUGACCCUUGGAGUUAAAUUUCUUUUUAUUGAGAUAAAAAGAGAAAACAAAAAGAUUUCUUGUAUAUAUGCUUGUACUUGGAGCUGAGGUUUAAGUGUGUUAUGAUGUAACUAACGCUCAUUGUCUAGGAAGGCAUUGAAAAUAUUCAAAUAUUGGAGCCAGCCAUGACUAAUUAAAUCACAAAUUUCUUCCUAGUUCUGAGAUAUUAUGUAUAAGUUUUUGACUCAUAAAUCAGUACUCAAAAGUUUUCUUUACUCUUUUUUUCCCCUUAAAUUCUUUUAUUGGUACACUUUAGGUAAUACAUUUACAUUUAUCAUUGGGUGCUUGUACCUGUACAUGAUGUAUCUUGGUUCUUAUUUUUUCCCCCAUUAUCUGUGCCCCCUUCACCCCCUCAACCCUUCCCUUUUUACAUAGACUUUGGGCAGAACAAUUCUAAUUCUUUCCACUCUAUCUCAUAUCUCCUUUAUUUACACCUUGGCCAUGCCUGUAAACUUUUAUAAUAAUACUAAUUUAUUUUAGAUGUGAUUUCCCACAGUUAAUAUUUUAGGCUAAGCAUGACCUCAAUUUCAGCAAUUUCUGCUUUGAAAUGCAGCAAUUAGCAGCACCUGUUCAGGGACAGAUUCACAACGAAAUUAAGGAAGCUGCACCUUUGGGCUCCUCUAACAUUCUCUAGCCCUCUUCUAAAGUCCUAGGAGCAAGGUUGCUAGAUUUAGAAAAUAAAAAAUAUCAUAAAGACUCCCAAGUUAAAUUUGAAUAUCAGAUUUUAGAAAAGGACAUAUGUUUAGCAAUUUGUACGAGACAUAUUCAUACUAAAAAUUGUGUUCAUUGUUUAUUUGAAAUUUAAAUCUACCUG